rnacentral:rRNA from 1 species
AGCGAACGCUGGCGGCAGGCCUAACACAUGCAAGUCGAACGAACCUUUCGGGGUUAGUGGCGGACGGGUGAGUAACACGUGGGAACGUGCCUUUAGGUUCGGAAUAACUCAGGGAAACUUGUGCUAAUACCGAAUGUGCCCUUCGGGGGAAAGAUUAAUCGCCUUUAGAGCGGCCCGCGUCUGAUUAGCUAGUUGGUUGAGGUAAUGGCUCACCAAGGCGACGAUCAGUAGCUGGUCUGAGAGGAUGAUCAGCCACAUUGGGACUGAGACACGGCCCAAACUCCUACGGGAGGCAGCAGUGGGGAAUCUUGCGCAAUGGGCGAAAGCCUGACGCAGCCAUGCCGCGUGAAUGAUGAAGGUCUUAGGAUUGUAAAAUUCUUACACCGGGGACGAUAAUGACGGUACCCGGAGAAGAAGCCCCGGCUAACUUCGUG